rnacentral:rRNA from 1 species
AUUGAACGCUGGCGGCAGGCCUAACACAUGCAAGUCGAGCGAGCGGCGGACGGGUGAGCAAUGUAUGGGGACUGCCCGAUAGAGGGGGAUAACUACUGGAAACGGUGGCUACUACCGCAUACUAUCGGAUAACCCAUAGGGGAUUAGCUAGUAGGUGGGGUAAAGGCUCACCUAGGCGAAGCUCUCUAGCUGGUCUGAGAGGAUGAUAAGCAACACGGGGACUGAUACACGGCCCAGACUCCUACGGAGGCAGCAGUGGGGAAUAUUCCACAAUGGGAGCAAGCCUGAUGCAGCAAUGCCGCGUGAAUGAAGAAGGCCUUAGGGUUGUAAAGUACUUUCAGCGGGGAGGCGUUACCCGAAGAAGAAGCACCGGCUAACUCCGUGCCAGCAGCCGCGGUAAUUC